GCCAAGCUGGCUUGGUCUGUAGAGCAUGAGACUCUUGAUCUUGGGGUUGUGAGUUCAAGCCCCAUGUUGGGUG
rnacentral:tRNA from 1 species